CCUAUAUAAAAUAUUAUUUCCUUUCCGGGUCAGAAAAAUCUGCGGAUACCCAUAUGGAUCAUAUUGUAUAUGUAUUGCCCUUCUGAUGGAUCUUCAUCCGUAGUAUCUUCCAAUCAAAAAUCCGACAUGGUUCACAUAUAUUGACCAAAAGUAAGACCCAUAAAAAAGUCACACAAAACAUGUAACCUGAACUAAUAAGACCUGACUUGCAGCUUGAUAUAAAAGUCACUCAAAACAUAGAAGCCAUCCACAAAACAAAAACUACAAUAAUAUUUUUUAAAACAACAAAAUGACAAAAUUAGGCUAAUUUUGCACAAAAGAUCUUAUUAAUUUUGUAAUUAAUUUUGAUUGAAAUUUUAAUAGUUGGGGUGAGUAUUUUGAUGAUGAGAUAAAUCAAGGUUGGUUUUGUAAAGUAAGAUUAAUGGGAUAAAUGAAGUAAUUUCAAGAACUUUGGAGUAUUUUGAUGAUGAGUAUGGAGUAGUCAUUGUGAAACCAGAAACAUUGCCCACUAAUCCAUAUGUUUUUGCUUCUUUACUUCAAUAAUCACUUUCUGAAUGAAAAAUAAAGGGAAAGCAAGGACAUUGCUCAUUAGGUGAUGAUUUAUUUAAAAUUUAAUCACUUCCACCGGUGCUUUUGCUUUUUUUGGAACUGCCCUCUUUGCUGGUGGUUUUGGCACUCCUGCCACUUGCAAUUUCUUCUUGUUAGUUGUUAUCUCCAUCUACUUGUGCAUUAGCAGCAAGUAAUCUGGCACCAAAACUCCUUGUGAUGGGUCUUUGUUGUUUGGCUUCAACAUCUUUGAAUGUAAAAUAUAUAACCAAUAUCAUUAAGUGCUUUCAUGUUUCUUCCCUGUCCUGCUGCUACAUUCUUUUGUUUAAUCCCUCCAUCAUUACCUUCAACUUUCUCAACUUGAGGAACAUUUGCUAUGGAACCCUUGGAUUUUGAUUGUUUGAAAAAUUUGUUAUAAGUCUUGUUGUUAGUUUAAGUCUGAUGAUUUUUCCAUAUUCAUUUCAUUGAAUUUGAUGUUUCAUGACAUUUGGGUUUUAUCAUGAAGUUUUAUGAAAGCGCAGGCCUUAAAGAGGUUCAACAAUGAAAAACAAAUGAAAAAUAUAAUGCAAAAAUGAACACAAGUGUUUAUGAGGUAUCUUGAAUACCUCCCCCUCAAAUAUAGUUUAUUAUAAUGAAUUCAACAAUUAUAAGUAUAAUAAAUCACCCUUAUCUUGAGAACAAUCUCUCAAGAUCACAAAUACUAAAGCAAAGUAAGAACACUCUCAAGUUUCUAAUAAUGCAAUAGCCCUCUCAACAAUAUGUGUGUUUGUGGUGGUUGUUACUAUGAGUGAUGAAUCCUAUUUAUAGGCAAGACAUUCAUCACUCUUAGUAUUCACUCAUAAAUCACCAUAAACAUACAUGUAACAACUCAAUUAACAUCUAAUUAACUAUGACAAUAAACAUUACAAUAAACAAUAGAAGUAAUUCACCACAUUAUUGCAUAGUCACUUCACAUUCUGACCAAAAACAGAAUCCAAAGUAGUUUACUGAACUUCCGCUCGACCCGAGCCACUACCUCGCUCGGUCGAGCGAGCUUCCAGAGAAGCUACUGACUUGUUCUGCACACCUUGCUCAACCGAGCCAACACCGCUCCACCGGUUGAGCAAUACUUCACUCGAUCGAGCGGUUGGUCGAGCCACUCACUGUUCUGCUUUUUUAAUUGUUGCUUUGAUCAAGCAACUCUCAUUAACCGUUCCAAACCUUAAACCACCCAUAUUCGACACAUCUUUGUCGACCCUCUCUAAAGUACAAGACAAAGCAUGUUCGAUUAUAUGUUUAAAGUUAACGUCAUCAUUAAGAUUAUUGGUACUUGCUUUAACAUUUUAUUUAGUAAUGGAUUUCAUUGUUUCAUUGGCUUCUCGUAGAUUAAAUUCCAAUGAAUUUAAUUAUGCUUGCUUUGA